UGGGGAAUCUUGGACAAUGGGGGCAACCCUGAUCCAGCGAUGCCGCGUGGGUGAAGAAGGCCUUCGGGUUGUAAAGCCCUUUAGGUUGGGAAGAAGUGUACUGACUGAAUAAGUCGGUAUGUUGACUGUACCAACAGAAUAAGCACCGGCAAACUCUGUGCCAGCAGCCGCGGUAAUACAGAGGGUGCGAGCGUUAAUCGGAGUUACUGGGCGUAAAGGGCGCGUAGGCGGUAAGGAAGGUGUGGUGUGAAAGCCCCGGGCUUAACCUGGGAAGCGCAUCGCAAACCAGCUUGCUAGAGUACAAGAGAGGGUGGCGGAAUUUCCGGUGUAGCGGUGAAAUGCGUAGAGAUCGGAAGGAACGUCGAUGGCGAAGGCAGCCACCUGGCUUGAUACUGACGCUGAAGCGCGAAAGCGUGGGGAGCGAACAGG
rnacentral:rRNA from 1 species